rnacentral:rRNA from 1 species
GCCAGACUCCUACGGGAGGCAGCAGUGGGGGAUAUUGCACAAUGGGGGGAACCCUGAUGCAGCGACGCCGCGUGGGUGAAGGAGCGUUUCGGCGCGUAAAGCCCUAUCGGCAGGGAAGAAGGAGGACGGUACCUGACUAAGAAGCCCCGGCUAACUACGUGCCAGCAGCCGCGGUAAUACGUAGGGGGCAAGCGUUAUCCGGAUUUACUGGGUGUAAAGGGGGCGCAGACGGCAGCGCAAGCCAGGAGUGAAAGCCCGGGGCCCAACCCCGGGACUGCUCUUGGAACUGCGCGGCUGGAGUGCAGGAGGGGCAGGCGGAAUUCCUGGUGUAGCGGUGAAACGCGUAGAUAUCAGGAGGAACACCGGUGGCGAAGGCGGCCUGCUGGACAGAGACUGACGUUGAGGCUCGAAAGCGUGGGGAGCAAACAGGAUUAGAUACCCUUGUA